rnacentral:rRNA from 1 species
UACGUAGGGUGCAAGCGUUACUCGGAAUUACUGGGCGUAAAGCGUGCGUAGGUGGUUUUUUAAGUCCGUUGUGAAAGCCCUGGGCUCAACCUGGGAAUGGCAGUGGAUACUGGAAAGCUAGAGUGCGGUAGAGGGUAGUGGAAUUCCCGGUGUAGCAGUGAAAUGCGUAGAGAUCGGGAGGAACACCAGUGGCGAAGGCGGCUUCCUGGACCAGCACUGACACUGAGGCACGAAAGCGUGGGGAGCAAACAGG